CGGGUUUGCGCAUUUCACAGCUGCGCUGCUGAGGGGAAUGCGAGCUUGGUGGCUCCAGGUCGCCGCGGAGCAGCUGCCCGUGGGAGAGCCUGGAGAGCGAGGGGGCGGCAGCCUCGGCCCGAACAUUUUAUGGAAGAAUUCUGAGUAAUAUUGUAUAUAAGAAUCUUUUCAUACGUGGACCUUCCCAAGUAUGAAGUUUACAACCAAUUUCUUCAUUUGGAGACUCUCCCACCUGGCCCAGCACUGAACACAGAGGCAAUACCUGAUCUGAUGAUGUAAAUCAGUUGGAAUCCAGUUUACUAAAAGCAGCUUUUUAAAGUCUGCAUCUAUUGUGUAAAUUAAAAGAUAUUUGUGUGCCUAACAACAA